rnacentral:rRNA from 1 species
UACGUAGGGUGCAAGCGUUACUCGGAAUUACUGGGCGUAAAGCGUGCGCAGGCGGUUCUAUAAGACAGAUGUGAAAUCCCCGGGCUCAACCUGGGAACUGCAUUUGUGACUGUAGAGCUGGAGUGCGGCAGAGGGGGAUGGAAUUCCGCGUGUAGCAGUGAAAUGCGUAGAUAUGCGGAGGAACACCGAUGGCGAAGGCAAUCCCCUGGGCCUGCAAUGACGAUCAUGCACGAAAGCGUGGGGAGCAAACAGG